UGUCUGGAAUCCUGYAGAGAURCGGGAGUGCCUUCGGGAAUCAGAACACAGGUGCUGCAUGGCUGUCSUCAGCUCGUGUCGUGAGAUGUUGGGUUAAGUCCCGCAACGAGCGCAACCCCUGUCCUUUGUUGCCAGCACGUAWUGGUGGGAACUCAAGGGAGACUGCCGGUGAUAAACCGGAGGAAGGUGGGGAUGACGUCMAGUCAUCAUGGCCCUUACGGCCAGGGCUACACACGUGCUACAAUGGCGCGUACAGAGGGCUGCAAGCUAGCGAUAGUGAGCGAAUCCCAAAAAGCGCGUCGUAGUCCGGAUCGGAGUCUGCAACUCGACUCCGUGAAGUCGGAAUCGCUAGUAAUCGCAAAUCAGAAUGUUGCGGUGAAUA
rnacentral:rRNA from 1 species